rnacentral:lncRNA from 1 species
AACUAUCCCUUACAAAUUAAAAAGUAAAUGUGCAUUUUUCUUAGAAAAUUCUGAUCAUGUUGUAUAUGCAGUUAUAUAGCCUUUUUGCCCUUUGUAAUAUCUUGUGGGUAUUUUCUGUGUUCUUCAAUAGUCUUCAGUAAUUUCAUUAAGCUGCUCAUUGUUGCAUACCUAAACAGCCCAUAAAUAUCAUGCUACUCCAUUGAUAGACAUUGUGGGUGCUAUAACAGCACUUUAAUGAACCUCUUGGUCCCCAUUUUUGCAUCUUUUUUUAAAGAUUCCUUUUCUAGGCACGUCCAUCACAGUGUUUGUCCUCAGUUUUUGUCCUUUAUAAGGGAAACUGACACACCACUGGUCAGCAGCUAUGGGCUGGCUAUCUCCUAAUAUUAGCCCUGCUGAUUUGGGCCAAGGGAGGGACACCUGAUCCAAGAGCAACCAAUCCACAGACAGAUGGAAUAACUCUUACUUAAAUAGUUUGGAAAGGUAAUCUGGCCAGAUUCCCCUAUGGAGAGUUCAAACAAGGAAAAACUGAGAGUUAAGAAGUAAUGUUGCCAGUAGUUGACUGGGGUUGUAAAAACUGGACAAGCAGGAGUUAGAUGGUAGAGAAAAGACAGAGCAGAGAGGAGGCUAACAGUUCUAAGGGGAAAAGCAGCACACUGAGAAUCCCCUGCUGUUCCAGGGCAGCCCAAACCCACACCUGCUCCUAGGUCUGUGCAAUUCCCAAGGUUAGGAUGUUCCCAGUUUUCUGGGUUCCCUCAUCUAAUUAGCCUCUUGGUGUUUUCUGAAAUAAUUUGAAUGAAUACACUUUCAUCUAUGAUAACCUACUGGGCACACUCUUACAGGUAGACUUAGAUGGCCAAAAAACAAGAAUAUGUUCUUGAUGGAUGUGCUAAAUUGCUUUUCAAACAUGUAAACUUAUACUCCUAACAACCCACGAGUAAAGUCAUUUUGAUUUGUUUUCUGUACUAAUGUUGAUAAAAGUUCAAGGUGCACCCAAUACCUGGCUUCCACUAUUUGUUUUGUCACUGCUCUCUACAGGAUCCCAAGCCAGCCCACUCAAACACCUAGGGUCCAGUCUCAUCCUGUCGUUAAUCCAAGUACUUGUCAGGUUCCAUUUGUUUUGUAUUUUUCCUCACUUUUUAAAAUUGGUGCAUUAUAGUUGUACAUACUGAUGAGAUCUGUUGUUAUAUAUUCAUACAUGC